rnacentral:rRNA from 1 species
CCUACGGGGGGCUGCAGUGGGGAAUAUUGGACAAUGGGGGGAACCCUGAUCCAGCCAUGCCGCGUGUGUGAAGAAGGCCCUCGGGUUGUAAAGCACUUUCAGUGAGGAAGAACGCCUGGUGGUUAAUACCCAUCAGGAAAGACAUCACUCACAGAAGAAGCACCGGCUAACUCCGUGCCAGCAGCCGCGGUAAUACGGAGGGUGCGAGCGUUAAUCGGAAUUACUGGGCGUAAAGCGCGCGUAGGUGGCUUGAUAAGCCGGUUGUGAAAGCCCCGGGCUCAACCUGGGAACGGCAUCCGGAACUGUCAAGCUAGAGUGCAGGAGAGGAAGGUAGAAUUCCCGGUGUAGCGGUGAAAUGCGCAGAGAUCGGGAGGAAUACCAGUGGCGAAGGCGGCCUUCUGGACUGACACUGACACUGAGGUGCGAAAGCGUGGGUAGCAAACAGGAUUAGAUACCCCAGUAGUC